GGGUCUGUAGUCUAGUGGCUAUGACGUUGCCUUUACACGGCGAAGGUCGUCGGUUCGAGUCCGGCCAGACCCA
rnacentral:tRNA from 3 species